ACGCUCGACACCUACGGGAGGCAGCAGUGGGGAAUAUUGCACAAUGGGGGAAACCCUGAUGCAGCGACGCCGCGUGAGCGAAGAAGUAUUUCGGUAUGUAAAGCUCUAUCAGCAGGGAAGAUAAUGACGGUACCUGACUAAGAAGCUCCGGCUAAAUACGUGCCAGCAGCAGNGUAUNGNGCGNNGNAG
rnacentral:rRNA from 1 species